rnacentral:rRNA from 1 species
CAGGUGGUGCAUGGUUGUCGUCAGCUCGUGUCGUGAGAUGUUGGGUUAAGUCCCGCAACGAGCGCAACCCCUAUCCUUAGUUGCCAGCAUUCAGUUGGGCACUCUAGGGAGACUGCCGGUGACAAACCGGAGGAAGGUGGGGAUGACGUCAAAUCAUCAUGCCCCUUAUGAGUUGGGCUACACACGUGCUACAAUGGACGGUACAAAGGGCAGCGAGACCGCGAGGUGGAGCCAAUCCCAUAAAGCCGUUCCCAGUUCGGAUUGCAGGCUGCAACUCGCCUGCAUGAAGUCGGAAUCGCUAAUAAUCGCAGGUCAGCAUACUGCGGUGAAUACGUUCCCGGGUCUUGUACACACCGCCCGUCACACCACGAGAGUUUGCAACACCCGAAGCCGGUGAGUAACCNACAAGGAGC